GCCCCCGUAGCCCAACCGGCAGCAGGCACGGGCCUCAAAAUCCCGACAGUGUGGGUUCGAAUCCCACCGGGGGCACCU
rnacentral:tRNA from 1 species